UGCUCAGUGCAGUGGAUGCUGUUCUCAUGCUUAGGUCCCUCGGGGCAGCUGCUUGCCCCGCUUUUCAGGUGAGAAGCCUAAGGCAGAGAUUGCACGUGAGCUGCUCAUAGUGACAGGACUUCCAUCACUCGUCACUCACGAUUGUCUGCUGAGGGUUCCUUCCUGCUUGCCCUGUCCCUUGCACAGCUGUCAGAGGCUUUGAUGACCCACUUGUGGCCACAGCAGUGGGCAGCCCUCCCUCCCCUCCCCCAUCUUCACAGAUGCUGUGCUCUCACUCAUUUUCCUGUUCUUUUAUCUCUUGCUGGUUCCUCUCAGCUCCCCAGGGUCCACACAUUGGCUGGCAGCAGAGCGUGGUUCUUGGAUCCUGUUUUGGCCUGUGCGUUCUCAUCAGCUUUUUCAGACCUCCUGAAUCAAGACCAGCUUCUCCUUGAACAAGGCAGAGCCUUGUUCAGCUACCUGCUCAGGGUCUUGCUGUGCUCUAAUGGGGUCUCAGCGUUGACUCACGUGUUCAAGUAUCUGUUUCCCUGUUCCCACUCCAGUGUCUUCUCCACCAAGGUCUGUUGCUCACAACAGUCUUUAGUUUGUUUCUGUCUUUCUUACCAAGUUCCCCAUCUAUCAGUCUCUCUAGGUGCACCCAGCAUGUGACCACAUGUGUCCCUCCCCUGCACCAAGUCACCACACCAUGCAUGAAGGAUUCAUCAGAGUCAUCCCUGAGCCCUUGCUUCAGUCUUUGCCCCUGGGGAAUUUCCCCACAGAGCUAUUGUAAUAUGUUGCAGAUGGCUUGUGAGUCUUCAUCUUGCUCUUAGCCUGUUCCAGCUUUCUGAUCUUUCAGCAUGAUACUUGAGUAAAAUAAAAAAGAAAGGACCAUGACUGUUUCUAAGUGUGGCGGAGAAGGAAAUUUAUUAUAGAUUUGUGGGAGAGUACAGCCAGAGGCAAGGACAUCUGGAGAAUCUGAAGUGGACAUGGCCCAGAGCCCUGUGAGGAGAGGGGAAGGGGAUGGAGGAGGGGAGAGCAGAGAAACGAGGCACAGCGGCCAGGAGGCCCAAAGGUACAAAGAGAACCAGUAGCCACAGUGGUUGGAUUAUAUAGGGAUUAUAUAUUAUCCUCUGGGCUGGAGAAGUUUAGGGUAAGGGCUGGGGUAUGCCAGCCAGGAGGGCCCAGUAAUAGCCAGGGACUGAGGGAUUGCAGGGAGAGGUGGCCAAGUCCACUUUGAUUUAAAUAGGCACCUCAUCCCAGGUUUGAAGCCUGACAAUACUCUCCCACCCUCUGCAUCCUCACUGGUCUCUGGGUCACGCUAAGGUAUGCCAGACGAGCCCACCAGGGGCUGAUUCUGCUCUGCUUUCCCCCUGGAAGGUUAUCCCAGAAAUCUUAACAGGCUAUUCCUUACCUUCUUCCAGACUCUGCUUCAGGGUCACUUUCUCCUGAAGCCCUCUCCACCAUUCACCAGAAAGUUAGCAGCCUCCUGGAGGCUGGUGUCCAGCUCACAUUCCCUGUGAGUGAAGACAGCGCCCUACCGAGUAUUUUUAUCCCUAGUUUACAAUGGAAUAAUUGAAGGUCUAAGAGGCCAAUGGUCUGCAGGGCCACUGUCCCUGGAACUACUGGGAUAGGGCUGAGACCCUGCCAUGCCCUUAAUUUCUCUGUGUGUGCUGUCUGUUCUUGUUAAGUAAGGCCAGGCGCCAUGCAGAGCAGCUGUGAGGAAGAAAUGAAUAAUGCACAGGAAAGUACUUUGCAAACUUCAGUUACUAAGAAAUGUUACCCACCUAACUUAUUGAGGAUCCUGGAAUUUCCUGUCAGCACCCAGUUCUAUUGUGUUCUUGAGUUUCUUCUUAGACAUGACAGAUCCUGAUUUGACAAAUUGUGUGUUUUCUUGAUUCUUCUGCCCUCAUUGUGAGGUGUGCUUCUGUCUGUAGUCUGAUCCCCUCAGUCUGGUUGUGCUUGCCAGACCUCUGACCUGUCAUCAGUAGAGGGCAGAGGACAGAGGAGCUGGCACCCGCAUGGCUGUCAUUGUUUGUUCUUGUGUAUGUUCCCGGAAAAGCACUUGUGUUAACAGCAGUGCUCAGUGGGAGUCAGGUUCCCCGACUUUCUCAGGCUCCCUAGUAGCCUGCCUGUCCCGGUCCCCUACUCUGUGGCAGAGUGGAGCAAAGUGAUCUCAGUAGGAGCAAAAGGCUCCGGAGACUGUCUUCUCUGCUGCAAGAAGUGAGGUCUACACGGAGAACUGGCAGGCUUUCUGCCUGGCUCCUGACUCUCCAUGUGUUGAGUGGUCAUAUAUAAUUGCCACAGUCCCCAGCAACUUAAUGUGGACCCUAAACCAGGCACAUCUCCACCUGUUGGCCACCUUCAUGCUGUUAGUCCUGGGCAAGUAUAGUGAUGGGCAGAGAAAGCUGAACUGACCAAGAGGCUCUUCGAAGCUGCCUAGCCCUCACACUCAUUCUGACAGGAUGCAGCCCAUCUUUUAUUGCCUCGCACGACUGUGCAGUCUAGGCACCAACACAAAAAGCUAGGGUUAAAUUAAGUAACAUUUCUUUAGUACCCAAAGUUUGCAAAAAGCUUUCUAGUACAUUAUUUUAGACAUCAGGGUAAGCCUGAGUUGAGAUGGACUCUGGUCAGUAGCAAGUAAGAUAGCCUGAAGAUCUCACACUCUUCCUGCAGCCUCAGAUCCUAAAGCUGAGGAGCAGGAAAUGCUGUCUAUAGUGUUAUGUAGAUGAUGGUUGGUUCUGGCCACUUGGGAGCAGAUGUAUGGAACAGCACCUGAGCCGUGGGAGCUGGGUUGGAAGCACAGCUCUGCUUCUCACUGUGGGCCUGGGGCCUGCAGCUCCUGGCCUCAGUGUCUGCUUUCAUGGCAUAGUUGCAUGCGCGGUAGAGCACUGGUAAGGGAGCCGGGGAAACAGUAGCUCCUGCUCUUAGUUGUAGUAACAGACGGGCUGGUUGCUAUAAAUCAGGUCCGAGUUCAGAUCCUCAGUCAGUUAUUUCCUCGUUAACUAUUUCAUCCAUGUUUAUUGUGGAUUUCCACUGGAGUUGACUUUGUACUUGUUCCUUACAGUCUUUGACUUGGAAAACUCAUUGUACUUAAUCUGACUGUCUUUCAUCAUCUAAAUAGUAAAGAAGGCAAUCCUGCAGGACUGUGGCAAACAUAAAACAAGUGCUUGUAAGCGGUGCACAGUUCAUUCCUGCAGCGCUCGCUCUCUCUCUCUCUCUCUCUCUCUCUCUCUCUCUCUCUCUCUCUCUCUGUGUGUGUGUGUGUGUGUGUGUGUGUAUGUGUGUGUGUGUGUUUGCUGAAGAACUGCUUCAGUUGGGCUUUGCCCCUCCAUUCAGCGCAUGUCUGCUGAGUGCCUGUUACACACAGGCUUCCUGCUAGUUCAGGUGGCAGGGUGGGGGCGGUCAUGUUACCUCCAAGGUACAUUUGCAAUACCUGAGAAGUCAAGGGUGAGGGUCAGGGGUGAGCAAGAGUUGGCCAAGGGUGGGAGGGGCAGUAGCAGCUGGCAGUAUCUGGAAGAGGGUGCUCAGAGGGGAAUACUGGAUUCAUUGUGGGUGUAGGUGGUCCAGUGUGUCAGCAGCCAGGGGUAAUGCUGCUCUGUGUGGGAGAGCCAAUGGCACUGGGCAGUGAGAGGCCCGGGGAGUCCUCACUGUUGUGGGUGGAGCCUGUGUUGCUGAUACUUCCAGGAGGGUGGAGCUUGGGACUCCUUAUGGCGCCAUUCAAGUAGAGCAGUAUCUAUGGUGAGUGUUAUUCAAACUACUGAGGAAAUGAAAAUGUUUCUAGGAGACAAAUUAAGACCGAAAACAGGUGAAGUUAACUUUAUCUAAGCCCAAGUAUCCAAAAUAUUACCAUUUCAACAUCUAACCUGUAUAUAAACUUUUUAGUGAGGUAUUUUACACUCCUCAAUUUUGGUAUUAAUCUUUCAAAAUGUAAUCUAUAUUAAACACAGCUUGUUUUGGAGAUUAGCCACAUUUAAGGUUUUAUAAGUUAUGUCUGUGUGGGUAUGUGCAGUUGAGUACAGUCAUCUGGAGGCCAGUAGAGGGCAUCACAUUCCCUGGAGAGGGGAUUGGCGGCAGCUAGAGUUGCCCUAUGUAGGUACUGUAAAUGGAACUCAGUCUCUGCAAGAGCAUUGCUCACUCUUAUAUCCGGCUAACCCUCCAGUCCCUUCGCAGCAUUUUAAAUGCUCAGGCUUCAGUACUAGGCAGACCUGAGUUUAGCAGGUCUGGGAUGGAGGGAGUUGAGAGUAACCUUUGUUCUCCUCACCUGCCCUUGAUAGCAGGAACCAACCUUUGAACACAUCUGCCUAGCAUAUGGGAAAGGAAAACUAAGGGAAACAGGAGGAUUCUGUCUCACAUAGUUAUGCAGUAAAUUUUAAAACAAAACAAAGCUGCAGAUGUGUUCAGAAUUUCCAGCCUCUUAUACAAAGACAGCCAGCCCUCUCUGGGCAGUAGGCUUCUGUGUGCUCCCCACUGGGCAGUAGGCUUCUGUGUGCUUCCCACUGGACAGUAUGUGUCUGUGUGCUCCCCACUGGGCAGUAAGUGUCUGUGUGCUCCCCACUGGGCAGUAGGCUUCUGUGUGCUCCCCACUGGGCAGUAGGCUUCUGUGUGCUCCCCACUGGAUUCUGCUUUGGCCCAUUGAGUACACUGGGUACUACAGGUAGUAGGUUGGUUUUGGUGUUUCAGUAACUCAACAAAGCAGCCUUCCUACCCAAUCUACAGAGGAAAGUCAGAUCAUGAAACAUUUAGUGCCUCACCUGGGGUCUUGUAACUACAUGUGGCAGAGCUGAGGCUCAGCCCUGCUUACAGCCAGGCUCUCAUUCCCCGCUGUUUCCCUACUAGAAUUCAGUGCCAUAUACAUUAUGAUCUCUAAAGUGGGGGGAAAGGAGCUCAUUUUAGAACAUUCCAUACAUACACAAUAUCUAUAUAUGUGUAUAUAUAUGUGUGUGUGUGUGUGUGUGUGUGUGUGUGUGUCAUUCGGUAUGCACAUGUGUGGGAGAAUAACAUUAUAAUCAUAACCAUAACAGUUCCUCAUCUCCCCCAUACACCCACCCCUACUUCUAGUCACCUCCCACUGGCCACUUAGAAGGUUCCAGAGUUGGCCAAUUGUCAUAGGCUUCCAUUGGUGGGGGUGGGACAUAGCCUGUGAAGUCACUUUAGAAUCAGGAAGAACUCAAUGUUUAUGAUGUUUCUGGUUCUUUGGUUUGGGAAGCUAGAGGCUGUUGGUGACCAGCUGGUGGCACCAGCUUCCUUCCAUCUUACUGGGGUAUAUUAGGGACUGGUGAACCCAUCAGAUGUGGCCCCAGAGACGGCUGAGGGCAGGAAGGUGUGUGUGGUGUGCCCAGAGGGUGGUGGCGUUCUAUAGUCAGAUCUUGUGGGUUGGCAGUGGAUUGUGCUACUCCGUCCUGGAGUAUGCUGGGGUUCUGAAGGGAUACUUAAAUUCUGGCUCUAUUCCAUGUUCAGUGCAGAGAACAUCAGCUUGUGGUAAAAGAGGCAUUUAUCACCAUGGAAACAGCUAUCAGUAACCUAAGAACACAAGCCUUGGUAGAGAAGGUCCUCCCAGGGUUGAAGGCUGCCUCUCUGUUCCCGAUGCCACCACAUCCUGGUCCCUGCUGUUGUCAGCCAGGACACUGAGUAGCUUCUCUAGUUCCAUCUUCUGUGUGCCUCAAGAGAAGAGCUACUCAUUUCUGCGCGGAAGCUUGUCCAACCACAGAGGCUUCUCACGCUUCUCAGAGUCUAGAAUUGCAGGCCAGUUGGCUCAGCUUCGUUUUGAAGAAAGCUACCUGUUUCCAAAGUCCUUGCGAUGUCUACAAGGUACAGCUUUGGCCCAGAAGAACCCCUGAGUCAGUCGUGCUCACAGAGCAGUGCCCACCAUAUGGACCCCUCUCCCUGUUGGGUCUUUUUCCUUUACUACAAUUAUUUCAAGCCUUGCUUGCCUUUCACCAGCUUCCUAAUCAGCUAACUUUCUAGUUUACUCCCAAAACUAACAAUCAAGCAAAACCCCUAGAACUUCUGUUUGUUUCCAGUUCAAUCUUUCCCCUCGUCUAUCCCACCCAGAUGGGCAGAACCAUCCCUCCUCUGUCUUCUUCAGUUCGGACCUCACACCUCCAUGCCGCUUCCUGGCAGAAUCACACUUCCUGUGUCUCCUUCAAGCAUGCUCUUCCUGUGUCUGCUCCUGUGUUCCCAGGGUGGCCCCAGGCUCCUCUUCCCCUUCUUCAGUUUCUUCCCUGUGCUCUUUCCGUUGCAGGUACGUUUUCAGUUCUGCUCCUUCUCAUACUCUGCUAGACCCUCAAACAGUCUCUGACACUUUCUGCUUACCCUCAUCCUUAAAAUACAAUCGGAAAACCCUUUCUGGCCAUACAAUCUUCCAGCAGAAAUUCAAGUCAGCUCUCUGCACUUUGCUUUUCAAAAUGUGUGCUAUCUUUCUUUACAGUUUGGGAGACUAUGAAGGUGCUCGUGCCAACAUGGAAAUCAGCUGUGCCUUGAGUGUGUUUAGCCAAUUUUUUUUUUCAUGGCAAAAUUCUCUCAAAGAAGGAAGCAGCAUGAUCAAUUACAUUCUGAAGCAGGCUCUUAAAAGACGAAUAAGAAAUCGUUUGGGACACUGGCAGCUGCAUGCAUUUGUUGGUCAAGCAGGUUCACUUUAUCUGUCUUCCUUGCUGUGGUGACCUCCCUAGUCCUACUGAAGUCCCAGGCAGACUCAGCUCCAGACUCUCAGUUAUCUCUUGGGUAUUUCCAUGGCAGCACCCGUUCGGCAUCCUUACACGUGGGCAGGUAUGAAGAAAGUUAACGUCUUCCUGGGGUCUUGUCUCCCCAGUACCAGGCCUUCCUCUUGUCCUCAUGGUGUUUCUCAUGAUGGUGUCACUAGACAGCUGGUGGCUGACCCAGUGUCUCCAGAACUUGGAUUCCUCUUGAUUGUCACUGCCAAGUCCUCACUGGCCAAGUGUGAUGCCAGUAAGGCCUACCCAUUGGACUUCUGGCAAGCAGCUCCAACUGCUUCAUCAUGUUGAGUGCUUGGUGUCUAAGACUCCAACACCCAGUAGACCAUUCCACUUUUGCUUCUCCCAGGACACCCUGCUCACUGUGCCUCCCUGUGUAUGCCAGGUUAUUUUAUUUUAUUUUGCCAACUUGGCACAACUAGGGUCAGUCUGGGAAGAGAAAACCUCGCCUGAGAAAAUGUCUCCAUCAGAUUGGCCCAUGAUUGUUGUGGAAGGGCCCAUCUCAUUGUGGAUGAUGGUACCCCUGUGCAUGUGGUUCCUGAAUUACAUUAAAAAAGCAAGCUGAGCAAGCUGUAAGAGCAAUCCAGUAAGCAGUGCUCCUGUACAGUCUAUGUGCUUCAGUUUCUGUUUCUGCCCCUGCCCUGACUUCCACAGUGAUGGAUAAUGGUCAGGACAUGUAAGUCAUAAGCCCCAUCUUCUCCAAGUUGCUUCUGAUCAUGGUGUUCAUCACAGUAGCAGGCAGCAAACUAGAACACUAUCUCAAGCCAUCAAGGGCCUUUUGCUGCCCUUGGAAUGAAGCCCCCGCCUCACUAAGAUCCUGGGAAGAGCUGACUCUGUAGCCCCCGUGCUCCACCCACUCCUUACUUCAAGCUCCCAGUAGUUGCUUGGCCCCUCCUGGUUCAGGCUCCUCUUUGCCCCUUCCCUGUGCUCUUCCCAGCUGUUGUCUUGGCUAGUUCCUUUACACUCAGGGUUUCCCUUUCAGUUAUGACUUCAGAGUUGCUCUCUCCAUCUGCCCACACUACAGGUGCACCAGAGCCAUCCAUAACCUGCUAAGGCGCCUAGAAUUUGGACUGUAUGUCCUGUGAAUGUAGACUAAGGUGGUGCCAUCCCUGGGGCUUCUCAGUAUGUAGAGAGCUGGUCAUGGAGGCUGGGGUCUUUGAUUAUUAGCUGCACAUACUUGGGAGGUACCAGCAGCAGUUGAAGGAUCAGGAUGGGAAGUCAGACACUGUACUGUUAGCUAGAGUGGCUACUUAAUGCAGUGACUCAAGGUGCUGUUGGCCAGCCUGAGGGAACUCUGAGGGAGGGAACAGCUGUGGGGCUGGCCUAGACAGCUUCACAGUGAAGUGGCCACAGUCAGGCACUAAUAUUGGUUGCUUGUUCAGGAAGAGGAAGGACCCUGUGUGCUGCCCCUCACGUAGUCACAGGUCACUGGGUACUGUCUACAGACUGGGUAACUGCUGGAGGAUAUUUUUCCUCUUUAGCCCAUGGUGUUCUCUGAACAGUAGAGAAACUAAAGCCUGUUGCACAACACUACAGUUCAGAUUCAAUUACUCCAGUCUGGGUUUCACCCAGCCUUGUUUGCCCUCAAGCACAGCCACUGAGAAUCCCCAGAUAGUAGAUAAGGCUCAGGAAAGUUCAACCUGCUCUGCCUGAGCCGGGAGCAGAUGUGUGUUAGAGGUGUCUCAGCCAGCCGGUGCCUCCCCUGACCCAGUGGGCAGGCCUAGAGCCUUCCUGGACCUUGCACGUUCCCCCUUUAGAUCCCUGUGGUUUUCAUUGUUUAGAUGAUGUCAGGGCCUGGGGAAGUAGCCUGUGAGCUGCACUUCUGAGCUGUGAACACGCUAGCAGAAGUCAAGUCAGUCAUGUCUAGGCUUCCUGAGCUUCAUGCCUUCCUUCCAAGGAGCAGUGAUGAGCAGUUCUGCUACAGAACUCCAAUAGCAGAUGUCCUCCUUAGUUAUCUACAAGAGAAGGGGCUUACUUGGACGCACGGUUUAAAAGUUUGUUAGUCCUCUUGAUGGACACCAAAACAAGAGAGGGAGGGGGAGGGGAAUGCAUGUCAGUGACCUAAGCUCUGCCUCUUAAAGGUUCCAGCACCUCUCAACCGCACCCUAGGCUGGAUACUAGGCUUGUCACAGCUGGGCCACUAAGAAGAAUCUAGUGGCUGUUGUCAGUACCUACUAUAGAUGGAGUUGCUGAAAAGUUAGGGGAGCAAACUAUUCCUUGGUUGAGGCUGAUGUUAACCUUCAUACGGAGUUGCCUGAUUGGAUGAAGUAUGCAUUCAGGUUUCCUAAGAGAUUACCUUACAAUGAAAAAGAACUUAGCCUCUGCCAACUAACAGGCUCACUCAGAUAUGAAUGUCUGCUUCCUUGUUAAGAUGAUAGUAAGAUAACAGAGGCCACACACAGCUCCAGACAACACAGAGUACAUGGUCUCUGGUAUAAAAGUCCUUGUCAGAGGAGCACUGGGGAAUAGCUCUUCCUAACCUCAUGUUUGUCCCCUGGUUGUUGUUUGGCCACCAUCUUGGUUAUUGUAUCCCUACCUAGUAUCUCACUCUGACUCCUCCAUGUUUGGAGAUUGCUCUGCUUGCUAUGAGAGUUGGAAGGUGGACUGUGGACAUACUGAACCUGAGCCUGGGCUGGACAGUGUGGAGUUGGUCCUGGCAGUCAGCAUUACAUCUGUUUCUAGCGCCAUGUGAAAAACACAUAGUGACACUGUGGCUGACAGAGAAGACACAGGCUGUGGUUCCUGUACAAUGGGAACUGGAUCUGAACAAGGAUUGUGGCACCAUGGCACUCAUCACACUGCCCAUUUUCUGAGCUGACCCUCUUUUGUUUUGAAGAAUCUGAGGUGUCAAAAGUUCUGGGUGAAGUUCUCAAUUUGAAUUAGCCAAAGUAUAUUUCUGUUGCUUAAAACUAAGAAGCCGAGUUCUCUAGAGAGGUGAGCUAUAGUUAUUUAUGGGUGUUACUCAUUUUUGAGUACAUGAGUAUCUCCAGGAGUCUCAGAAUUUAACACAAGACAAAAACCAGUUGAGGGGUGGUGAAACCGUGGACUCAUGCAAUCUCCCUUCAAUGUGAAUCUGACCGGACCACA